GGGCGCUUAGCUCAGUUGGUUAGAGCAGCUGGCUUACAUCCAGCAGGCCGGGGGUUCGAGUCCCUCAGCGCCCA
rnacentral:tRNA from 1 species